UGGGUUGGUUGGAUCCCUGCUCGUGCAGCGACAGCCGCUCUUUCAUUCCUUUUCAUUCUUACUCCAAGAGCAGUAAGCCUUGGACCAACUCGGUUACCUGUGUUGCAUACCUACGUUGAUGGAAUUCGCUCGUCCAAUAGCCCCUAAUUCACCUUGUGCUGCUCGCGCGGUGCGGGAUGAACCAUGAAGUGUCCUUUGCUGUCCGUUAUUGCCUCGCGCCAUGAAACGGCCAGUGCUGCGGCACUCGAAUUCUCGGAUACAGAACCUUGAGCGGGCAAAGGGUCUUUGGCCUUGAUUUGCCCAAACUAAGCGUUCUCGCUUCUUACGAACGACUGUCGCGCCCGUUUUGACCUGAGGAUACUUUCGGUCCGACCGGCUCAUGCGGUGCCGACGUCGAAG
rnacentral:misc_RNA from 2 species